AGACCCCUGGGCUAACAGCCCAAGGGAUGCACCUCAAUGACCCCCACUGGUGUCCGUAUCAGCAUGCCUGGACCAGCUCAGAACAAUGGUCCCCACCAAUGUCUCAGUCUCCGGAGGGGACCCUCUUCUCACCAAGAUGCCCUCAGAGCCCACCAGAUCUUCACUUUGAGAACCUGGUGAAUUUCCACACAAGGAUGAGGAGCCCGCCUGUGACUGCAGCCACCCGGAGUUUCUCACCCUCAAGGUAUUCUGCACUUAGCUUUCAGAAAUUUGCCAAAAUAAUCAUUUAAGUGUGCCUACCAGAUUAUGGAUUUCAGUGACUUUUGUUCCAGUGUUCUCCCAACUCAAUCUGAGCUGAAUGCAGAUUGUAUAUGCUUCAAAGACCUGCCUGAGCAGAGCGAAAUCCUCCUCCCCUUCAUCAUCAAUAUCACCACCAACAACAUUUAACAGAAAUAGAAAGUUGAAAUUUCGUGUCAAGUUUAUAUUUGCCUCAAAAAAUGACUUGGUGAUUGGUUCGAAUCCUGGGCACGGACAUGGCACUGCUCAUCAAACCACGCUGAGGCAGCGUCCCACAUGCUACAACUAGAAGGACCCACAACGAAGAAUAUAC
rnacentral:lncRNA from 1 species